rnacentral:rRNA from 1 species
CAGCCGCCGCGGUAAUACGGAGGGGGCUAGCGUUGUUCGGAAUUACUGGGCGUAAAGCGCACGUAGGCGGCUUGGUAAGUUAGAGGUGAAAGCCCGGAGCUCAACUCCGGAAUUGCCUUUAAGACUGCCGAGCUAGCAGGUGAGAGAGGUAAGUGGAAUUCCGAGUGUAGAGGUGAAAUUCGUAGAUAUUCGGAAGAACACCAGUGGCGAAGGCGGCUUACUGGCUCAUACUGGACGCUGAGGUGCGAAAGCGUGGGGAGCAAACAGGAUUAGAUACCCCAGUAGUCCCUGUCUCUUAUAA